AGAAAUAGGCUCAGUCUUAUUCCACAUGCCCCACUUCAGCUAUAGGAGCAAAGAGCCAUUUCCAGCUAGUUAUAAACCCAGCAUAGAGGGGAAAAUAAAUCAUGUUUCGGUGCUGUUAUUCUCUAAAGAAAACAAGUGGCCUAAUCCUGCACCUGCAGUUGUGACUGAACUCAGCACAAGCAAAGGAGUUAGGCUGGAAGCAUGUACUGAGGGAGGUGAUGAGGAUCUGGCUUGCACAGCUGCCUUUGCAAAGGGUCAAGACAAUCUCACACAGGGCACAACUCUGUUAGUUUUGUUCUGAUCUUUUAUAUAUUUUUUUAAGAGCAUUAGCUCGUUUCUGAAAAUGAUAUUCUGUUGUGUGUGAGAGAGGAGAACAGGCCAGUCCAAAGGGAAACAGUGCAGAGCAUCGGCUACAAGCCUAAAUAAAUACCACGGUCUGAAGAUGCCUGGCUCAAUUUUGUUUUACAGAGUUUUAUUUCAUGAAUCUUUCCCUUUCAUUAUUAACCAUUCACAGCUGCUAUAUGCUGAAUAAUAAUCAGAAUGUAUUCGUUGUUCGUAAUAAAAGUUCAUAUUUCUUGUAGAAAUGGUAUAAUUGGUGAUCAGGAUGUAUACUUAUCCUAAAGUUACCAUGGCUUUCUAAGUAUAAGCAUAGUUCUCACAUGCCCUGUGUUCAGGGCAACGUGUUUGUUCAGCUUUGGAGGUGGGUUGAGGUGGUGGAGCAGAAAUGCUAAGUCACAGCCUGAAGGAGUGAUUGGGCACCUGGUGUGAAGGCAGGGCCAACCCAGGAGAGCUCAGGUGCAUGCAAUGCAAUGCUGGCAAUGAAGCCAGGAUCCACCCCUUCCCAGACCUAUUUAAAGGUUGGCAGUGAAGCAAGGGUAGCUCACUAGAGGUUCCUACCUAUUAGAGGCCUUCUGGAGAUGUUGGUCCUUAUCCUGGUGUAUGAGCAUGAAAGCCCACAAACAACAUUUGGUUCAGCAAUGCCCCAAAUUUCCAUUUGUUCACCCCUUGGAAUUAGAGAAGCACAAACUGGUCCCCCUGUGUUUCAUACAAGGUAACUGCAGCUGGAUGAGUGCCUGCUGUUUUGGUGGAGGAGCAAGCUCUUGCAAACCAUUUCAAGGAGAGUGAGUUGGAAAGAUCCUAUUAAUUCAGACACUGCCUCUGGAAAAAAAAACAACGCUACUUCAUCAUGAUUGUCACAUUACAGGUGUGCUCCCAAUGGCUGCUGAACAACACUCUGACGCCAGUGCCUGCAUGAGGACCAGUGACACUCCUGUCAGCCAUGGGAGGGGACUGGAAUUGCUGAAUGGGUCCAUCUGCACUAGCUACCCCUACCUACCUGAAAGCCCCAAACCAUGAGGGGCAGCUGGUUACACUGCACAGUAUGGCACAAGCUAUUAGCCCCAAGUGUUUCCUGAGGCCUCUCUUCAUUUGGUGCACGGCAUGGCACAAGCCCUUUCCCAUGCAGUGUCUGAACUGAACCUUGUCAGCAGUGCCCAGGCUCUGAUCCUGACCCAGCCUGCACUGCAGCCCCUCUGCUGAACUAACCCGAGAUGAAAGGCGUCAAAUGACAGGAUACAGAGUGCUGAGAGCUGGCAGCAGAGGUUUCUUCUGCAGACAUCUUGCUGGUUGUUUUAAGGUCUUCUGCCUCUAAGUGGCACCAUGCUGAGUGAUUGAACACUUGCUAGAAUCUGUUCUACCUUUUAUUGCAAUGAUUUAUUACAGAGCUCCAAGUUCCUAAACUCUGAACAUUCACAAGCGCUGCCUGAAUGUCAGAGCCCUUUGGUCAGAAACACCAGAGCCUUCUGGAGUGAUGGUCUCGGUACUACAAAAUCCCUUUGGAAAGCCAUGGCUCUUGAACCAGCUCUGGGAAAGACUGAACUUUCAUUUUAAGAGAAGGCUCUCACAUCCCCAGCAUCUGUAAUGAGAGGUACUCAAAGUACAGCCAGGCAAAGCUUUCUCUGCUGUAUGUUUCCAGAGGAUUACCCUGAAUCCUACUCUUGCAUAGUCUGGUUUAUGGAUUUGUAUGUGCUUCAUAUAAUUAGGCUCAGUUUCUCUUUAUGUAGCUUCUGCUCUGAGAGCAGGACAUAGUUUGGAAGGGGGACGAACGAUGUCCCAGAAUGCUGUUUCUUAAAACAGAAGGAAGUGAUCUCCUCACAGUGCCACAAUGGGUUCAUGACACAAUAACAUUCAGACAUCCAAGCAUCUACUAUGAAAUCUGACUUUGCUUUAGUACAUAGAAGUCCUCACACAUUAUGCAGCAUUGAGGGCUGUCUUUCUUUCUUACUCUACCUUAAAAUACAGUAUGGUUUUCCUGUCCCUACAUGAUGAAACAAAAUCCACACCCCAAACUCCUCCAGCUCAAAACAACAAACCAGUGCAGCUCAGGAAAACUAUGGAUACUUUACUUUAAAAAAGCUUAAGAAAUGUACACCAUGAGAAAAGUUUUCCUGUAUCUGAGAGAAGGUUGUCAGGAUGGUAAUAUAGUACAGUGUGUAGUGAAGACUGGGAGAUUUAUGUGCCAAUUCUGUGUAUGAUUUAUUUAGACGAAUUGUUUUUUAUCAAUAUGUAAAAAUCCAAUAAAUAUAACUCCCUAUACAAAGGGUUGCUCCAGUCCCAAUGUUUCAGUGGACAGUUUUGGCAGAAAGUCAGGAUGUGCAUUAAAAACACACUUUUUGAGAAGUCUAAUAAAUAAAAGCUCUGAAAUAUGGCUUCCUACUGAGAAAGGCAUUUUAAAUCAUUUUGAUAAAGAACCUAAAUUAGGCCUUAAAAGGAGGGGGAAGUGAGGUCCCUGCAACUAAUUAUUUAUAGGUAUUUUGAAUAUAAAAGUCCAGGAAAGCCAGCCUCCAUCCCCCCAUUCUCUGCCAUAAUGAAGGGGAACAAAAAAAGCCAUUCCUCUUCUGCCUCCUACCCAAAUUAAAAGGCAGAAGUGUGAGAAAGGGGUCGAAGAAAACAAAAUUAAAAUGGGGAGCGGGCACCUGGCAAAAACAAGGAACUUCAUCAGGAGGCCUGGAAAAUAAACCUGCACACCUUCUCCCCAAAGCAGGGGUAGCAGGAGGGGAAAGGUCUUCACUUCUCAAGAGAAGUGGGUUGCUACUCACCCCAGGUCCAUGAACAGGGAAUACAGUGGUGUUUGCUAAGUACCACAGGGAGUGUUUUUAGAAGUGAAUAAACAUUUGAAUAGCCAUAGUGUCUCUGAAAGUCAAAGCAAUUUGGAGAUGGCAUAGAAGUCAAAACUGCUGGGGACUUGCUUUGGUUUUUGAAUCACUUCAGUGCUUCUGGACGUGUUAGCCCAAAAAUGUAGCUGACAUUUGGCCUGUGUACAGCCACACACAGGCCUUACCUUUAGAGGAUUUACAGCGUGGGGACCUGCUAACACUUGCAGCAGAACCAGUGGGGCUGGAGAAGGGCUUGUGUGUUUAAGUGGAAGAGUCUGUGGCUCCACAGCAGUAACUGACAGUGCCCCGUUUUGGAUCUCCAGCCAAGCCCAGCGUCUCAGGUGCAGUUCACAAGGCUCAAGGCUCUGAAUGGGAAGGCUGAGAAAUGAGAGAUUAAUGCAUGGGAGCACAGUGUGUGUGCUGGAGAAUUUUCUGCUAUGGUGGUUGUGCCUAUCAGGCUUCCUACUGAACUUACUGCUAUUCAUCUUACAGACAUCUAGAAUUUCCCUCCCUGUUUCUCAGCUUCACCUUGUACUCCCUUCUGCCUCCAGGCACAUGCCUCUCUUGUCCCUGCACAAGGGCCAUUCAUUCUCCUCUGCUCCAUCAGGAGUGCUUCCCUCUGAGUUCGGGCUCAUCCCUCUCCUUAUAUCUGACCUUCAGAUCUUCCUUCUCACUGCAGAGCCUCAGUAAGGUGUACUACAGUAAGGGCCACUGCAGGCUGCUAGUAGAUAGCAAUAGGGAAGAGAAACGCAGACCUCAGAAAAUUAAGAGCUGGAAUUUAACAGCGUGGGUCCACGUCUACCUUUGGCCUGGCUCUGUGCUGUCAUUUCAUCGGACACAAGAGCAAAAAACCUGCCAAAAAAACACCACGUUCAUUUGUGUCAUAAGAACUUAACCACAGGCUUCUGCCACCUUCAACAUAACCAAAAUCCAGCAGCCCUAAUGAUUUCCCCACCCAAUUCACCGUGAAUGAAUAUUCAGACAAACGUCAGGGGCUGUCAUUUCCCAAAUGAAGGCAAUCCACAUUCAUCUACAUCUGGAACACCUCACAAUGUUGUGCUUCUGACCAACUGGUGGUGAAUUUUAAGCUGAAAUGAAAGGAAGAGGUAGAAGGCGACGCCUGAGUGUCUCUUGAAAAACAUCAAAAUGUAUUUUCUUUUCAGUCCCUAAAAAAAAGGAUCUGAUUAUUUAGGGAUCCUUUCCUCUUCACUUCAUUAUCAUUAGCUUAGCAGCGCUGGGUUAUCUAAUUACUCAGCUAGAGCUGGAAACUGCAUUUUCAUGUAAUAAGGUGUAAGAGGACUAGGCUGUCUAGCUUAGUAGUCAGUACUUAAAGAACAGCUGUAAAGAGCAGAGUCAGGAAGGCUGCAGCACGAGAGGAAAUCCUCAGUAGAAUUCAAGUGCUUUACAUCUGUCAUAAACAUACUUCCAGAUCAAAUUAAAGGAAUUUCUUUUAACUGUAUUCACAGGCUCCAAACACUCCACACAACAAGCAGCCUGAGAUCUUAGUCAUUCUGAGACAUGAAUCAUUCCCCUUGUCAUCUGGCUGUUCUCUGCUGACUGCUAAUUCGCUGUAUAUUGAUUUUAAGACUCUGUUAACACAUUAUAUUUUUGUGUUAAGCCAGGAAAGCUUUUCUUGCUGAAAAAAUCACGUCCCAUCCUCGUUCCUCACCAUAUUCAGUUUCGUUCCUUCUCAUUUAUUUAGAACGACUGAUCAACGCCAUUUAAUCAGCUUUAAGUGGCUCUGUGAAUUGUUCCACGCUAUUGUAACCACCUACAUUUUUUUCCUACCAGCACUUAACAUCACAACAUGAAUUCUUCAUUCUGGACUGGUGCGUCCACCUACUCAUGCAAAAACUUAGCAGACCAAGUGAAUGUUGGGGUAACACCCUGAGAUUCUGCAAUUCAACUGCUCAGAGAAAUGACUUGUUACCUAAAGGAAGAACUGCAAACACGGAUCACAGGAACGAUACUGGCAUUUUUUCCACACUGAUUUGAAACAGGUCAAGGCUUUAAAAAACUCCUGUAUUAAACUGUGCUGUUGCAGCUGGCGAUUAAAAUUUACAGUGAAUUAGAUAAUAAA